rnacentral:rRNA from 1 species
UAAAUACCGGCUGGAGACCGAUAGCGCACAAGUAGAGUGAUCGAAAGAUGAAAAGCCCUUUGGAAAGAGAGUUAAAAAGCACGUGAAAUUGUUGAAAGGGAAGCGCUUGCGACCAGACCUGCCCGUGGGUGAUCAGCCGCCGUUCUCGGCGGUGCACUCGCCCGCGAUCAGGCCAGCAUCGGUUCGAGCGGCCGGACAAAGGCCGCGGGAAUGUAGCUUCCUCCGGGGAGUCUUAUAGCCCGCGGCGCAAUGCGGCCAGCCCGGAUCGAGGACCGCGCUUCGGCUAGGAUGCUGGCGUAAUGGUUGCAAGCGACCCGUCUUGAAACACGGACCAAGGAGUCUAACAUCUAUGCGAGUGUUUGGGUGUCAAACCCAUGCGCGUAAUGAAAGUAAACGGAGGUGAGAACCCGUCAGGGCGCAUCAUCGACCGAUCCUGAUGUCUUCGGAUGGAUUUGAGUACGAGCAUAGCUGUUUGGACCCGAAAGAUGGUGAACUAUGCCUGAAUAGGGUGAAGCCAGAGGAAACUCUGGUGGAGGCUCGCAGCGGUUCUGACGUGCAAAUCGAUCGUCAAAUUUGGGUAUAGGGGCGAAAGACUAAUCGAACCAUCUAGUAGCUGGUUCCUGCC